GGCUGGUGGGGGGGGAGGGUGGCGAUCAGAUGAGGAGCCAGGACCGGGGGACUGGGACUGGCUGGGCAAGGAGUAGAACUGAGAUGGGAAACUGGAAGAGUGAACACAGGCACUGGCUAGAACAGGGUUCGAAUAACAUGCAGUGAAUAAGCCAUGGAGCCACGCACUGAACAACGAGAAGAAAACAGAACAUUGAAUAGCUGCUUGUUAUACUCCUGGGGGAAUUCUGCACCACUGCACAUGCGCAGAAUUUAUGUCCCUGCAGAUUUUUUUGCUUCCCGGCAGAAAAAUGACUUUCUGAUGGGGAAGCAAAGGGAAGCCACAAGAACAGUCACGCAACCCUCUCCAGCAGUAUGUUUCGAGUGCCCAGGGCAGCCGGCAGAGAGUCAUGAAGGCUUUGAAGAUGGGAUAAAGACACUAUUGAGUCAGGAUAGCACUUGAUCCUUCUCCUGUUGAGGAAACUUCCCUUGACUUCACUGGAAGAAUGAUAAGAAGGAACCAGUACAGAGCACUUCCACACCAGGGUGUGAUGGGCAGAUACUAGCCAAACACUAUGAAAGUGCUUUGGAUCAAGACACUGCCCUGUGAUAUAACUGGGGCAUCAUACACAGCAACUGGGAAACUGAAAAGA